ensembl:processed_transcript Pantr2 POU domain, class 3, transcription factor 3 adjacent noncoding transcript 2
CUAGGCGACUGGUGUGGAUUGGUGUUGAUGAGAUGUGGCUUCCAGCGUUGCCCGACUCAGACCUGUUUCCAGUCUGGAUGGAGCGCACCGACCGUGUGGGAUGGGGUGAGAGGAACAAGUGAAACUCAACAGCUAAGGAGAAAAUGAAGAACUAGUGCUACGUUUUCCACGUUCUUUUUGCUCCGGGGUUGACAUGGCAUUUGGCCUUUCUACCUGGAGAAAAUCAAGAGUAUGUAACUUUCCCUGCAGAUGGUCUGUCUGUAAGAGCUGACACAGGAACCUUUGGGAGCCAGUAUCUAUUUUGUUUCCGACUGCAAAGUUCCAGCCAAUGAUUUGGAGGGGGGCCGGCACCUUCUGCUGGGAGCUAGUCUGGGAGGGAACAACUCAUUCCUGAGUUCUCUUUCGCAAACAUAUCUCUUGUUUAUUAAAAUAAUAGUAAUAAAAAUAAGAAUAAUAAUUAAAA